rnacentral:rRNA from 1 species
UACCAGCACCCCGAGUGGUCGGGACGAUUAUUGGGCCUAAAGCAUCCGUAGCCGGUUCUGCAAGUCCCCCGUUAAAUCCAGCUGCUCAACAGAUGGGCCGCGGAGGAUACUACAGAGCUAGGAGGCAGGAGAGGCAAGCGGUACUCAGUGGGUAGGGGUAAAAUCCUGUGAUCCAUUGAAGACCACCAGUGGCGAAGGCGGCUUGCCAGAAUGCGCUCGACGGUGAGGGAUGAAAGCUGGGGGAGCAAAGCCGG